rnacentral:rRNA from 1 species
AGCGAACGCUGGCGGCAGGCCUAACACAUGCAAGUCGAACGAACCUUUCGGGGUUAGUGGCGGACGGGUGGGUACCACGGGGGAACGUGCCUUUAGGUUCGGAAUCACUCAGGGGAACUUGUGCUAAUACAGAAUGUGCUCUUAGCGGGAAAGAUUAAUCGCCUUUAGAGCGGCCCGCGUCUGAUUAGCUAGUUGGUUGAGGUAAUGGCUCACCAAGGCGACGGUCAGUAGCUGGUGUGAGAGGAUGAUCAGCCACAUUGGGACUGAGACACGGCCCGAACUCCUACGAGUGGCAGCAAUGGUGAAUCUUGCGCAAUGGGCGAAAGACGGACGCAGCCAGGCCGCGUGAAUGAUUAAGGUCUUAGGAUUGUAAAAUUCUUUCACCGGUGACGAUAAUGACGGUACCCUGAGAAGAAGCCCCGGCUAACUUCGUG